GACGAACGCUGGCGGCGUGCUUAACACAUGCAAGUCGAACGGUAAGGCCCUUCGGGGUACACGAGUGGCGAACGGGUGAGUAACACGUGGGUGAUCUUGCCUGCACUUCGGGAUAAGCCUGGGAAACUGGGGCUAAUACCGGAUAGGACCAUUGCCGGCCUGGGGGGUGGUGGAAAGCUUUUGCGGUGUGGGAUGGGCCCGCGGCCUAUCAGCUUGUUGGUGGGGUGAUGGCCGACCAAGGCGACGACGGGUAGCCGGCCUGAGAGGGUGACCGGCCACACUGGGACUGAGAUACGGCCCAGACUCCUACGGGAGGCAGCAGUGGGGAAUAUUGCAAAAUGGGCGCAAGCCUGAUGCAGCGACGCCGCGUGAGGGAUGACGGCCUUCGGGUUGUAAACCUCUUUCAGCACCGACGAAGCGCAAGUGACGGUAGGUGCAGAAGAAGGACCGGCCAACUACGUGCCAGCAGCCGCCGUAA
rnacentral:rRNA from 1 species